GGGUAACGGGGAAUUAGGGUUCGAUUCCGGAGAGGGAGCCUGAGAAACGGCUACCACAUCUAAGGAAGGCAGCAGGCGCGCAAAUUACCCAAUCCUAAUACAGGGAGGUAGUGACAAGAAAUAACAAUACAGGACUUUUUGGUUUUGUAAUUGGAAUGAGUUAAGUAUAAACCCCUUUACAAAUAUCAAUUGAAGGGCAAGUCCC
rnacentral:rRNA from 1 species